rnacentral:rRNA from 1 species
AAAAACAUUUCUUUAAGGAAAUUAAAGUAAAACCUGCUCACUGAUUAUUUUAUUAAAGAGCCGCGGUAUAUCUGACCGUGUUAAGGUAGCAUAAUAGAUUGGCUUUUAAUUAAAGUCUGGAAUGAAUGGUUAAACGAAAUGUAAGCUUUUUUUUUUAUAAUGCUUAAAUUUUUCUUUAAGGUGAGAAGACCUUAAUGUGCUAGAAAGAAGAGAAGACCCCUAGAGUUUAAUUAUUUAUUUUUAUAUUAAAUAUUUUUACUAUGAAGUUUAUUGUGGAAAUUUAAUUUAACUGGGGCGGUUUUUAAGUACUAUUAACCUUAGAUAUUAUGAACUGGUUUGGAAUUAGUGAGAGCCACAAUUGGUGAUUAUAUGAAAAAUUACCUUGGGGAUAACAGCGUUAUUUUUUUGGAGAGUUCUAAUCGAUAAAGGAGUUUGCGACCUCGAUGUUGGAUUAAGAAAAUAUUUUGGAGAAGAGUUUAAAAUAAUAAGUCUGUU